rnacentral:lncRNA from 1 species
ACUUAACCUGCAAGCAGAGCCAGAUAGCUGAGAACAUUCUGAAACUACAGAUCUUGCCCCCAGAGAGAGGUGUGGGCCAUGCCCUUUGGGUUCCCGAGAUUUUCGAGAGAAACAAUGUGCAGAUUUUGACAAUAUGCCUUUCCGAGGAAAGUAUUAUAACUGGAAACCCUAUACUGGAGGUGGAGUAAAACCUUGUGCAUUAAACUGUUUGGCUGAAGGUUACAAUUUCUACACCGAACGUGCCCCUGCGGUGAUCGAUGGGACUCAGUGCAAUGCAGAUUCACUGGAUAUCUGUAUCAAUGGAGAAUGCAAGGUUGCACACAUUGCAGUACUGUUUUGUUGGGAUUUUCUGAGACCUUUGUCUUUUUCUCAAAUAGUAUUUAAUCUAUGCUUAGCUUUUUAA